rnacentral:tRNA from 1 species
UGUUUCAGUGGCAGAAGUCCUGCCUUCCGUGCAGGAGACCUGGGUUUGAUUCCCAG